CUCAUAAAUGAGAGUAUUAUUUUCACUCUCUCUCUCUCUAUAAAAAUGGUGGCUUUUUAUUUAACAAACAGAGACGCACUCCAAAGCUAACGUUGCUUUCGUCCCACUCCAAAUGGCUCUUCUGUAAAUGAUUUUACAUCCUUCACACACUCUUACGAAGAAGAAGAAGAAGACUUUUCUUUCUUCAGGAAGCUUUCAAACUUAAAAUUCCCCAUCUUUUCUUUCUCAAUUUUCGAAUUUUCCGAGUCGAACGAUUUUAAAACUCCAAAAAAGAAGCAGCUUAACUCGAACGAGUUGAUCAAGUCGGUCGGUUCUGGUUUUUCUCUGAAUUUCACCUCGGUUAUUUCCGGUUUAAGCUUUAUUUUUUUCCCGAUUAUGGAUCUGACCCAAGGGUUCGGAGCUAGAUCCGGCAUUGGACCGGUGACCGGACUUGAAUCGCUCAAUUUCAGCGACGAAUUUCGCCAAUUGGUGACGGCGAUGCCACCGGAGGAUACUGGCGGCUCUUUCACGGCUUUGCUCGAGAUGCCUGUGACUCAAGCCAUGGAGCUUCUCCAUUUCGCAGAUUCACCGUCUUCUCAGGCCAACAUUACCAAACUCGCCGGAGAUAAUAUCGCUCCUCCUCACCCUUUCGGGACUUUGACUUUUCCUUCCAACUCCCUUCUCUUGGACCGCGCCGCUCGUUUCUCGUUGAUUGCUACUGAGCAAAACGGAUAUUUCUCUUCCGGCGAUACUCCGAGUUCUAGCGCGAAUCUGGACGGAGGAGUCAAGGCCGAGCCUGCUGAGACUGAUUCAAUUUCGGAGAAUCAGAAUUCGAAACACAACAAGAGGAAAGAACGCGAGAAGAAGGGUAAAAGCUCGAUGAAGAAGACCAAGAGCUCCGUUGAGGCAGACAAGUUGCCGUAUGUUCACGUUAGAGCUCGUCGUGGUCAAGCUACUGAUAACCAUAGCUUAGCAGAGCGAGCAAGAAGAGAAAAGAUAAACGCACGAAUGAAGCUGCUACAGGAACUGGUCCCAGGCUGUGAUAAGGUUUGUCUUUAGAUUAGUGACCUUUUUCAUCAAUAAUUAGAUCUUCGUUUGUUGAUUAAAGACAGAACCUUUCUUUAUUAGACCAACCCCCCAAAAAAGUGAAAUCAUUUUUUCUGAUCUUUCUAUCAUCUGAAGAUGUGGUUUGAUAAGAAGUUAAAUCCUUUUCACUUUCUUUUUAUAUGAAUAAAAUUGUAGUGCUAAGUUCCUCUUAUAUGAAAAGGAAUUUUUUUUUUGUGGUGUGCCAAAAGACCAAAACCACUAGUUUGGUAAUUUCAGUUCCUUGAAUAUCUUAACUUUAUUUUCGUGUGGGGAAGAAUAUCUCACGGGUCACAACCAUUUAGGUUAACUAGUAGUAGUAAUACGGAAGUGAUGUGACAUUGUUCAAUAGAUUCUUGUUUCGUCUUCCCAAAGUGUAUUCAUUGAGCUUGAAGCUUACUCCAUAAAUGACUAUAAUGGAUUUAUGAUGUGGGAAUGCUAGCUGGAGUGUUCCCUUGAGGUUAUGGGUUGAGGGGACAGAUUCUGGUGGAUAGAUCAAGGUCAUACUGGGUUUUGGGGUCCAUCUUUCGAUAAUAAGUGGCAAAAGUUGCAGGCUUUCAAUGGAGGGUGAGGACUGUAGUAUUGUCUCUAAGAAGUUUGGUAUCUAUCAAAUAUAAAGAGGGUGAGGAGUGUAGUAUCGUCAGUAAUAUUGUUAUAUGCUUUGAGUCCCACAUUACCUAAUUGGUUGGAAACAUGAUGUGACACUCCUGCAGACAGCUAACUAAUCGAUAGAUAUCUUGGAAUUUAGCAGCAAUUAUUGGUGGAAGGAGAUGAUGAUAGGUGACAACUCUUUAAGAGUUUGUCAAAUCUGUGGGGCUCGGGGGCUUGAUUGUUUGUUCAUGAAAUCUUUGAUAAUUUCUGGAAUUCAUGUUUCUAAACGAGAGAUGUUGCUCUGGCAAACUAGUAGAGUUGUUGAGAUUAUAAAAGCCGUUUACGUUUUACAUGAGCGGCUCUCUUAUGGAUGGUAGCUUCAAUGGAGAGUCUUAUCAUCAGCUGCAACAAUGGCCUUACGAUGGCUACCAUCAGCCGG